rnacentral:rRNA from 1 species
UGGUCAAGUUAUUAAGGGUGCAGGGCGGAUGCCUUGGCACUAGGAGCCGAUGAAGGACGUGAUAAGCUGCGAUAAGCUUCGGGGAGUUGCACGUAAACUUUGAUCCGAAGAUUUCCGAAUGAGGAAACUCACUUAGAGUAAUGUCUAAGUAUCAUUAAGUGAAUACAUAGCUUAAUGAGGGGAACUCAGGGAACUGAAACAUCUAAGUACCUGAAGGAAGAGAAAGAAAUUCGAUUCCGUAAGUAGCGGCGAGCGAACGCGGAUUAGCCCAAACCAAUAAAGUUUUCUUUGUUGGGGUUGCGGACAUAUCAUAACGAAGAGGUAUCGUAAUUGAAGAGGUUUGGAAAGACCCACCACAGAAGGUAAUAGUCCUGUAUGUUAAACGAGAAGACUUCAGAUAUGAUCCAGAGUACCACGGGACACGUGAAACCCUGUGGGAAGCAGGAGGGACCACCCUCCAAGGCUAAAUACUACCUAGUGACCGAUAGCGUAUAGUACCGUGAGGGAAAGGUGAAAAGAACCCCGGGAGGGGAGUGAAAUAGAACCUGAAACCCUGCACUUACAAGCUGUGGAAGCACAUUUCUUGUGUGACCGCGUACUUUUUGUAGAACGGGCCAACGAGUUACGUUAAGUAGCAAGGUUAAGCACUUAAGGUGCGGAGCCGUAGCGAAAGCGAGUUUUAACUGAGCGUUCAGUUACUUGACGUAGACCCGAAACCGGGCGACCUACCCAUGAGCAGGAUGAAGCGAAAGUAAAAUUUCGUGGAGGUCCGAACCCACGAGCGUUGAAAAGCUCGGGGAUGACUUGUGGGUAGCGGUGAAAUUCCAAUCGAGCCCGGAGAUAGCUGGUUCUCCCCGAAAUAGCUUUAGGGCUAGCCUCAAGGUGAGAGAUACGGAGGUAGAGCACUGAAUGUCCUAGGGGGUAUUGCACCUACCGAAGACUAUCAAACUCCGAAUGCCGUCAUCUUAUACUUGGGAGUCAGACUGUGGGUGAUAAGAUUCAUAGUCGAAAGGGCAACAGCCCAGAUCGUCAGCUAAGGUCCCUAAAUGUAAGUUAAGUGGUAAAGGAUGUGGGAUUGCACAGACAACCAGGAUGUUGGCUUAGAAGCAGCCACUCAUUCAAAGAGUGCGUAAUAGCUCACUGGUCGAGUGAUCCUGCGCCGAAGAUUUCCGGGGCUAAAACUUACUACCGAAGCUACGGCAUCAUUAUGAUGGGUAGGGGAGCUUCCCAUACGGGUUGAAGCAUGACCGUAAGGACAUGUGGACAGUAUGGGAGUGAGAAUGUUGGCAUGAGUAGCGAGAUGUGGGUGAGAAUCCCACAGGCCGUAAACCCAAGGUUUCCAGGGGAAGGUUCGUCCGCCCUGGGUUAGUCGGGACCUAAGCUGAGGCCGAAAGGCGUAGGUGAUGGACAACAGGUUGAUAUUCCUGUACUACCGAUAACCAUUUGAGAGAAGGGAUGACACAGUAGGAUAAGCUAAGCACACUGUUGGUUAUGUGUGCCCAAGCAUUGAGGCAGUCAAAGUAGGCAAAUCCGCUUUGAUAAUGCUGGGAUGUGAUGGGGAGCGAAAUUUAGUAGCGAAGUAGCUGAUUUCACACUGUCAAGAAAAGUCUCUAUCGAGGUUAAAGGUACCCGUACCGCAAACCGACACAGGUGGGUGAGGAGAGUAUCCUAAGGCCAGCGAGAGAACUGUUGUUAAGGAACUCGGCAAAAUGACCCCGUAACUUAGGGAUAAGGGGUGCCACCAUCCGGUGGCCGCAGAGAAUAGGCCCAAGCGACUGUUUACCAAAAACAUAGGUUUCUGCUAAGUCGCAAGACGAUGUAUAGGAGCUGACGCCUGCCCGGUGCUGGAAGGUUAAGGGGAUCUGUUAGAGCAAUCGAAGCAGUGAACUUAAGCCCCAGUAAACGGCGGCCGUAACUAUAACGGUCCUAAGGUAGCGAAAUUCCUUGUCGGGUAAGUUCCGACCCGCACGAAAGGCGUAACGAUUUGGGCACUGUCUCAACAACAGACUCGGUGAAAUUGUAAUUCCGGUGAAGAUGCCGGAUACCUGCGACAGGACGGAAAGACCCCAUGGAGCUUUACUGUAGCUUGACAUUGGGUCUUGGUACUACAUGUACAGGAUAGGUGGGAGGCUUUGAAACCAGGACGCCAGUUUUGGCGGAGCCAUCCUUGGGAUACCACCCUUGUAGUACUGGGACUCUAACCAUAGGCCAUGAAUCUGGUCUUGGGACACUGUCAGGUGGGCAGUUUGACUGGGGCGGUCGCCUCCCAAAAGGUAACGGAGGCGCUCAAAGGUUCUCUCAGUACGGUCGGAAAUCGUACGUAGAGUGUAAAGGCAAAAGAGAGCUUGAUUGCAAGACAUACAGGUCGAGCAAGGAUGAAAAUCGGACUUAGUGAUCCGGUGGUUCUGCGUGGAAGGGCCAUCGCUCAACGGAUAAAAGCUACCCUGGGGAUAACAGGCUUAUCUCCCCCAAGAGUCCACAUCGACGGGGAGGUUUGGCACCUCGAUGUCGGCUCAUCACAUCCUGGGGCUGUAGUAGGUCCCAAGGGUUGGGCUGUUCGCCCAUUAAAGUGGUACGCGAGCUGGGUUCAGAACGUCGUGAGACAGUUCGGUCCCUAUCCGUCGCAGGCGUAGGAAAUUUGAGAAGACCUGUCCUUAGUACGAGAGGACCGGGAUGGACGUACCUCUGGUGUACCAGUUGUUCUGCCAAGGGCAUGGCUGGGUAGCUAUGUACGGAAUGGAUAAGCGCUGAAAGCAUCUAAGCGCGAAGCCAACUUCAAGAUAAGAUUUCCCACCGCAAGGGUAAGACCCCAGAAAGACUAUCUGGUUGAUAGGUCGAAGGUGUAAGUGCAGCAAUGUAUUUAGCUUAUCGAUACUAAUAGGUCGAGGACUUGACCAAU